rnacentral:rRNA from 1 species
ACGCUCGACACCUACGGGGGCAGCAGUGGGGAAUAUUGCACAAUGGGGGAAACCCUGAUGCAGCGACGCCGCGUGAGUGAAGAAGUAUUUCGGUAUGUAAAGCUCUAUCAGCAGGGAAGAAGAUGACGGUACCUGAGUAAGAAGCCCCGGCUAACUACGUGCCAGCAGCCGCGGUAAUCUGAGCGGGCUGGCAAGGC